CACAAACGCGGACGCGCCGUAAAAUCUAACGGACGUUGGUACAGUUUUUGUUGGGGCAGACACGACCGAACAGCGCUCUCCAUAAACCGGUGGAAUUACCUCUGGGUCGGACAGGGCUAGCCAGCUACCCACCCUGCUACGGUGAUGCCCGUCUGCUGCCUCCAGUCCCGGCUGUUACGGACCAAGAAUCGGAGCGCUGGUGUGAUGUUUCCCCGUCGACUGAUCAGGGAAGGGAGGCAGCCACGGCACGCGAUUGUUCAACAUGACAGUGAGCCAGAAAAAUUAUGUCAAGAA